UUUGGAGGGCAAGUCUGGUGCCAGCAGCCGCGGUAAUUCCAGCUCAUAGCGUAUAUUAAGUUGUUGCAGUUAAAAAGCUCGUAGUUGAAUUUCGGGAUCAAUUUGUUGGUCGUGCCUCGGUACGUACUGGCAUUAUUGGUUUCUCCCUUCUGAAGAACCUUGAUGUCAUUAAUUUGGUGUCUUGGGGAAUCAGGACUGUUACUUUGAAAAAAUUAGAGUGUUUAAAGCAGGCAA
rnacentral:rRNA from 1 species